rnacentral:lncRNA from 1 species
UUUCUUUUCUCCCUGACUCAUCAUGUUGCCCCAGUACGCAACCCAUUGAGUUUUCAAACACGGUCAGGUACAAAAUUAAGGGUUUUCCAGGGCUCGGUGGUACUAGCACAGGAGGAUUAGACAGAUACCGUUUUAACUUAUCGAAGGCCACUUGGCACUCCUUGUUCCAUUCUCCCAGGUUAUGUUUUCGAAGGAGUCAAAAAAUUGGGUCGCAUUGGUUGGUAAGUUGAGCGAUAAAUCGAGCGAUGUAAUUUAAUCUCCUUAAAAAUCCUCUAACUUCCUUUUGCCUGCGCAGAGAUGGUAAUUCUUGGAUGGCUUUUAUUUUAUCUGGAUCAACUUCGAUACCUCUUUCACUGACAAUGAAGCCUAGCAACUUUCCCGAGGUAGCCCCGAAUGUACAUUUGGCGGGAUUAAGCUUUAGCUGAAACUUUCUCAGCCUUUCGAACAACUUCUUGAGGUUCAUUACAUGCUCUUCUUCUCCUCGAGAUUUAGCAAUCAUAUCAUCGACGUAGACCUCUAUUUCCUUAUGCAUCAUGUCAUGGAAUAAUGUCACCAUAGCCCUCUGAUAUGUUGCCCCAGCAUUCUUUAACCCGAAUGGCAUCACCUUGUAGCAGAACGUUCCCCACAUUGUUAUGAAGGUAGUUUUCUCCAUAUCCUCAGGGGCCAUCUUGAUCUGAUUAUACCCCGAGAAUCUAUCCAUGAAAGAAAACAAUGAAUGUUUUGCUGUGUUGUCCACCAACGUGUCAAUAUGUGGCAAGGGAAAAUUAUCUUUUGGGCUUGCUCGAUUCAGGUCACGGUAAUCCACGCACAUUCGUACUUUUCCAUCUUUCUUUGGUACCGGGACUAUGUUAGCCACCCAUUCUGGAUAUUUGGAGGCUUGUAGGAAGCCAGCAUCAAAUUGCUUCUUGACUUCCUCUUUUAUUUUCAACAGCAUUUCGGGCCUCAUCCGUCUUAAUUUUUGCUGGAUGGGCUUGCAUUCUGGCUUUAAUGGGAGCUUAUGGACCACUAAAUCUUCAUCUAGCCCUGGCAUGUCCUGGUAUGACCACGCGAAAAUAUCUUUGUAUUCGCGGAGUAAAGUGAUCAAACUAUGCCUGGUACUUUCUGAAAUAGAAGUCCCAAUCUUCACUUCUUGUUUCCUCUCUUCACUGCCCAAAUUUAUUGUUUCCACAGAUUCUUCAUGAGGCAGAACCUGUUUAUCCUCUUGUUCCACCAUCCUUAAUAAUUCAGGAGAUGAGACAUAAUCUUCAGCAUUUUCUUCGACUUCAAAUUCUCCUAAGCAAACAGCCUUCUCAAAAUCAAUUUCAAGAUUCGUAACGGGCUUAUUCAUGUCGUCAAUAUCUGAGCACCUGAAAGUUGAAUGGAAAAGGAAGCUAUAGGGGGACAUCCAAGUAUUGGAAACAACAAACAAAUGUUAUGUCAUGGUAAUGAGGCAAAUGUAAGGAUGAGAAAAUGAUUAUGAAAUUAGUGAUAAUGCGAAAAAAUCGUGACAAAAUGCAUCUUCAUUGAUAUUCAUUUAAACGAUAAAGAGCGAAUGCAAAAUCUUACAAAAGAAUUCUAUUAUAUCUAAGGACACAAUAGAAGGUUGAUGUUUAGCAUUACUCUGAAGGCUUAUAAACUACAAGAAGCUCCUCAGCAAUCCAAUUGUUCAACAUGAAACCAGGAGGGCAAGGGCGUAUCCUCGAGACAUCUUUACUUGCACCAGCUUCUUUGUCAAUGACAUUUAUACUGACAUUCUGAAAAUCCCUUUCAAUUAAUCCCAGCAUGUUUCGUGGAUCAUCUUGUCCAGGGUACAUCAUUCCCGCAGCUGUAAAUGUUUUUGACAAAGGAGGGUACUCUAUUGGUUCCCAUUCUGGUUCUCGGCCCAAAGUUCUUGCAAUUCUUCUCUCUUGAUCCCUCUUCCACUGUCUUCUUCUUUGGCGCAUGUCAGGCUGGAACCCCAAACCGUAUCGGGCCUUAUGGUGCACUGGCUUUAAAGUCCUCACUAUUCCUUGCAGAUGUCUCCCUAAACCUCUUCUCGCACGAGCUCCCCUUCCUACGGUCAACUUGACACCUAUUCUGGUAUUUCUCGACAGUUUUGGCAUCGGAAUUCUAUUUCCCUCAGCGACGAAAGUGGCAUUGAUGAAUUCAAUGGAUCAAAAGGAACAUUCCACUGCGUCCUUGCUUACUUCCAGGUAUGGCGCAUCAGCAGAGAUAGAUGCGACGAUGUCUUCUUCGCCAUCGACUGUGACCAAACAGCCAUCCAUGAUGAAUUUCACCUUUUGAUGGAGGGAUGAUGGGACUGCUCCAGCAGAAUGAAUCCAAGGUCUUCCCAAAAGGCAGUUAUAAGAAGGUGUAAUGUUUAUGACUUGGAAUUCGACCUCAAAGAUGUAGGGACCCACUUCCAAAGGGAUUUCGAUCUUUCCCAUGACUUCGCGCCUCGUCCCGUCGAAUGCCCUUACCGUGGAAUGACAGGGCUUUAAGUAGGACAAAUCCAUCGGUAUUCUGAAAAGUGUAGCCAAUGGCAUAACAUUUAUCGCUGACCCAUUAUUGAUGAGUACGUUCGGUAUUAUGUAGCCCUUGCAGCGGGUCGUGAUAUGCAGUGCUUUCACCGAGCCUCUACCAUUUGGCGGUAUCUCAUCAUCACUAAAAGAGAUGAAGUUGUCCGCAUUCAGAUUGUUUACCCACCUAUCAAGCUUUUCGACAGAUAUGUUGUUGGCCACGUAAGCUUGAUUUAACACCUUCAAUAAAGCGUUCCGGUGUGGCUCUGAAUUUAAUAGUAGAGAUAGAACUGAGAUUAGUGCUGGCUGCUUGCUCAAUUGUUCCACCACACUAUAUUCGCUGUGCUUAAUAAAUUUUAAGAAUUCUUGAGCUUCUUCCUCAUUCACAGGCUUUUUAGUUUCUUGCACGGGUGGAAUUUCUUGCUCGACUUCGACCUCGUGCAUCACUGCUUUCCCUUUUUGCUUCGAGUCGCUACUUUUCUUUACCGGUUCAACUUCUUUAGAAUAGCAUCGUCCACUUCGAGUAAAAUGACCCACCUCCCCAACAUCUUCAAUUAUGGCUUUGGACUUUUCAACUUCCGGUGUAACGAUAUUAACAUCAUAUUUCCACAGUACUGUUUUGUUGUCCUUAUACGGGAAAGGAGAUGGUACUUCAAUUACCAUCUGUGGUUUCAAUGGCUCUCUCAUCGCGUCGUAAUAAAUUACCAACGGUCGAUCAGCACUAUAAGGGGGCCCUGAUGAUUGGCUAUCAGAGACGCAUACUUCUCUUUCGUUGGCAUCUUCACUCUUGUUAAGGACCUUGAUCUCCUUAUUAUCCAUCCGGUCUUGAAGUAACCUUUUAAAGUCCUCACAUGACUGAAUGUCAUGUCCAACAAUCCCAUGAAAAUUACAAAAACUUUGACCUUCUUCUCCAAAAAUUCUAUCAGAGUGAUAGAGCAAUCCUUUCUUAACCAAUACCUCCCAGAUUUUCUAUAGAGGCGUCCUUAUUUCUAAUACACAUCUUCUGACCCUCCAUUCAUCCUCUUUCCCCACUGUGCUCACAUUCCCUUCGAUAUGGUUAGGGAAUGGGUUCCCCGUGGCGUUACUAGCACUAUCGAAUCGUAGGAUACCCGCGUCAAUGAGUCCUUGAACUCUCCUUUUAAAAGUGAGACAGUUCUCAGUAGAGUGCCCUUGGUUCCCUGCGUGGUAUGCACAACUAGCGUUUGGAUCGUACCACUUUGGGUAUGGAGGUUUAAGGGGUGCCAUGUAAUGGGGAGAAAUUAGCUAUUUUUCUAAAAGUUUUGGGUACAAUUCCCCAUACGACACAGGGAUGGGGGUAAAUUGCGGUCUCUCAGGAUUAUGCCUUGAUUGGCUUUGGGCGGGUACCGUGUUUUGUGGGAAAAUGGUGACGGGUCUUUGGUUGUUCGUGGCGUAUACAGGGCAGGACGGAUGUGGUGCUUGGUAGUAAGGGGUUUGAGGGGGAUAAUAGGAAUUCGAGGGUGGAUAAUUUUGAGGUCGGGGUUGGUUAGAAUACGAAUUGGGAAUGUAACGACUCCCAGUUCCCACCAUGUGGGCUUCUGGCUCUUUCUUUCUUAAAGGUGCUGCUUUUAUUGAGCCUUCUGAUCCUUCCAUUCUACCGCUCUUGACGGCAUUCUCUAUGAGUUCACCGGAUAUUACAAUAUCCGCGAAAUCUUUCAUGGCACUUCCCACUAAUUUGUCAUAAAACGGUGCCUUUAAAGUAUUGAUAAAGAGAACGGUUAUCUCUGUUUUUGUUAGUGGGGGUUCCACUUGAGCUGAGACGUCUCUCCAUCUCUGCGCAUACUGUCUAAAGGUCUCUGAUGGCUUUUUCUCCAUCAUUUGCAAAGUCAUACGGUCUGGCACCAUAUCCGAACAUGCUUGUACUGUUCGCAAAAUGCUGACGCCAAGUCCUUCCAAGAUCGAAUCUUUUCUCUACUAAGUUGAUUGUACCACCGAAGAGCUGACCCUGUUAGACUAUCUUGAAAGCAAUGUAUGAGUAGUUUAUCCUCGUUCACAUAACCAGUCAUUUUCCGACAGAACAUAAUGAGAUGUGCUUUCGGGCACCUUGUCCCAUCAUACUUCUCAAAAUCAGGCACUUUGAACUUCGGGGGCAAAAUUAGAUCAGGUACCAAACUGAGUUCCUUGGCACCUAGUGCGGAAAAGACUUCAGUGCCUUCUAUUGCUUUGAGUCUUUCCUCUAGACUCUUAUAUUUUGCGUCAUGGUUAUCCAAUUUCAACUUGGCUACCUCUGCUGGGUCAUCCAGAUCUGGAACUAGUGGAUUAGUAGAACUAGCCCCUAGGUUCGACGCUAACAUUCCUUGCCCCAAAUUAGUGGGUGGAGCAGGUGGCAUGGGUCGAUGCUCCAAGCCAGUGGGUUCCUCUUGAGUAUACCCUCUUUGUAUUGUAUAUGCGGACGGUGGAGUGAAUCCCGGGGGAUAGAGUGGAUCCUGAUCAUGGUGAAUUCUUGACCGAGGUUCCAUAAUAUCGGGGUUCUGCAUUUUUCCUUUGACCAAAGUUGUCAUCAUCUCCAUCAUUUUAGCCAUCUGAUCUCUUUGCUCGAGAGAUUCCUCUCGAGAUCUCACCAUUAGGUCUCUCGUCUCUUGUUGCGAUUUGGCCAGUUGCUCUUGUAAUUCCUUUUGAGCCUUUUUCAUCCUUUCAAUUCUCUCAUUGAAUUCAUUCUCCAUUACUUUAGCUUGUCGGCGUGUUUUAUACGGAUGACGUGGUUCCAGUCUUGAAGUCUGGCAACUGCGAAUUGUACGUUUUAACCUCAGCGAAUGAGUAUAGGAUAUGUAAUGAAUGAACUGAUGCAUGAAUGAAUGCAUGAAUGUCAAAUGAAUGUCAGUUAUGAAUGAAAUGCAAGAAAUUGGUGUUGAUUUCAAGAUAGCCCCAUAUUUAGGCAUUUCAUUUAUCAACAUAGUCUAUUACACAAAGUUCUCAUUUUUCCAACAGUUACACAAAUUUCCUAGCCACAUUGCCUUGUUUCUUCACUUGCUCUAAAAACUCUGAUAUGCUCGAUCUUUGGCUCGGAGGGAAUUGGCAACUGAGAACUUCGGCUUCAUCUGAUAAUUGAACAACUUGCAUAGCCGCUUUACGAAUUUCAUUGAUCAAGAAGUCAAGUUGCAUUUCUUUUUCUUUGAGGGUUCCUUCAUACGCGUGAAUGUCCUUAUCGUACUGCUCACUCUUUUCUUCUAGAGCCUUCAAGAGGUUAUCUAAUUGUUGUUGACGAGAUUGCAGCAUAUUUUCUAGAUCUCGUGUUUUCCUUUUUAAUUCUUGAUGCUCAGACUGACUAUUCGCCAAUUUUGCAGCCACUAUUUCAUACUCGGUGUUCUUCCUUCUUAACUCUAUCACAGCGCGCGCAGCCUUUUCCUCCUCUUUCUUUGCUUUUCCCUUCCAAAACUCCAUUCCUCCCUUGAUAUUGCUAAUUUCUUCCUUCCAUUCUACUGUCGACUUGCCCAACCCGCUAUUCUUUAUAGUGUUUCUUAAUUUCUUGUUUUCCAAAUGAAGGUCCCUUAAGUCGUUUCUCACAAUCUCGGCUUCCCUUUGUACUUUUUCAGUCCUAGACCUUUCAACCUGAACUUCAAUCUUCAGUUGAUAGUUUUCUUCUUGAAGGGCACUAAGGUCCCGAGACAUCUUGGUCUUUUCUCGUUCGAAUUCUUGUCUUGCCAUUUCUAGCUCAGACGGCGUUUCCUCCGAGAAAGGAUUCUGGAUGGUGUAGUUUGUUGAUGAGAUUUGCUGACUAUUUACCCGUUGCUUCCUCCAUAUGUCGUAAUCUUGGGUAAGGGUAUCAACAUACAAAGCUAAUUCCAUGAAAUGAAUUUCCUUCCAAUACUUUGCAGUGUCUCAGACUCUCUUCAUAUAUCUUUCACCCGCGAAAGCGAACUCGAACUGUGCUAAUCCUCCAGUUGCGGGGAGGAAUUGUCGCGAAGAAAAUUACCUUUGGACUAAUAGCGGAGCAUAUCCAACUCCUCCCCAUAACCCGAGUAAAGGUACCCAAUCUUGGCUUCCACAUUUGUAUAGCAGAACUGAAGGACGGAUCCAGGGUGCUCUCCAUGUUAUAUUCUCGGCGCGAAGAUUCUGAAAAACUGAUACCCAAUGUUGCUUGGUGACUUCCUUCGGCCAUUCUUUCUUGAGGUAAGCUUCUAGCGGGGAGAAUAUUUUAGAAAACAUAUGGAACGGAGUGCGCUCUACCUUCCAGAAGUGACUCAAAAUCCAAACAUUGAGCAACUGCGCGCAUCCGAUAAAUCGUCCCUCCUCUUUUCUUCGACAACUACUCAGGGACCUGAAGGUCUCGGCUAAGAUGGUCGGGACAGGGUUGAUUCCUUGUUUUAACCUUUCGAAGAAAUCAACUACUGCAACUUCGAGAUGUCCGAGAACUUUUGGGAAAAUGACCAAACUGUAAAUGACCAAAGCGAAUAGAUUUACCCUUUUCAGCAUGUUGGGAUGGUUCAGAGCCAAAUAUCGUAGGGAAGACCAUGGAAUGCAAAUGGUUUCAUUCUUCUUCUUUAUCUGUUUUUCGGCCCAUGCAUCAGUCAUGUCUGUCAGUCUCACUAACUUUUUCUUGAAGGUCAUCGGCUUAGGCUCCUUCACAUAUAUUUUGCCGAAUUGUACAUUGUCGAUGCGGAGUAAAGCAGCAUACUCUUCUAUGGUUGGAUUCAUGUCUUCUUGAUUGAAGGUGAAACACUGAUAAGCUGGGUCCCAGAACCGAACCAUGGCUUGAAUCAACUGUUCGUCUACACGGAUGGUGAUCAGGUGAGCUAUAUCCCCAUACCUCUCAGUGAAAAUGUCUCUAGUGUUUGAAUCCCACUGAUUCCAAAUUUGAACCAAAUCCUCAAAGUUAUUUUGGCGAACAUUUACAGUUAUAUGUUCGGGCAAAUUGGCGACACACCCUUCCACUAGACUAUCCCCCUUUUCUUUCUGAAUUUUUAGAGACCAGUCCCGAACCACGGCACUCUUCUCGGUUAUUUAUGUAAUUGACUCCUCCAUCAGAAACCCAUUUUUUGGCAACCAACCUUUAGUCAACACCUUCUUAAUAUGAUGCCUAUGAUGCAUGAUGAAAAUAAAAGUGAAAACAAACAAACUUGGUUAGUAAACACGACAAAUAUAAUUUGCAAAACAAAUUAAACUACCCAAUCCAAUUAUUUUGCAUAAACAGUGUAAAUGAAAGGCAAAAGGCAUUUUCCCGUGUACUUAUUUUGAUGACUAUAAGCGGACAGAGGUUCGGCAUGGCUCUAAUUGGAUAGCUCGUAUGGUUCAUUAUAUGCAGUUUUGGUUCUAGAUAGGUACUCGAAUUGCCCGUACUAUCAUCUGCUAAGAUUAACACGGAGCCUCGGUCAUAGCCCAUCACAGGCUUACGAGAUCAAUUUGAGGGAUUACAUUUACUUAUGCCUAUGCGGAGGGACAAGUUAACUCACGAAAGCAUAAGUCAUAUGUAACCCGAAAGUAUUCACUAGCCUGUGCGGAGGAACGAGUUAACUCACGAAGGCGUAGCGUUUACUUUCUCUUAACAGGGACGGAGCCCGGGUAUAGAGCUCAUGUUAUGCAACAAAAAUGCACGUGCACGGUGUGUGGGGAGAAACUUGUAAACCUUUACGUUUUAUUUAAAGAAACUAAACCAAAAUUAAAACCAUAAAAAUUGAAACACUGAAAAACAACCAAAUAAGCAAGUUAGAAGAAAUAUUUACAGCACGAUACAAAUGCAUGAAUUUUGAAAAUGAGAUUUUCGGAUCAUGACCAAAUAUUUACUUUGAACCAGGAAAUUUGAAAAUUUUGACAAAAUGUGUUUAAUUCCAGACACGACUCUCAACAAGGCUGUUCCCCAGUGGAGUCGCCAGCUGUAGCGCGUAAAAAUUUUAGUUUGGGGUCGCUAAUUGUGGCAAUCUAGUGAAAAAGUUUGAAAACUGAAGUUUGAUUUUAAAAUAAAGAGGGAGUCGCCACCGAUCCUUUUCCUAGGUGUGACCGGACACCUAUUAGAUUCAUUUUUUUUAAAACAAAAGGAAGGCUGGAUUUAGGUCUACGUUAAAAGCCAGAGGAAAAUUAGGGUUCGGGAGUCGGUUACGCGCGAGAAAGGUAUUAGCACCCUCGCGACGCCCAAAAAUUGGUAUCUCAUAAACACAUGUUGUCUUAAUUUUCAAAAAUGCGAAUUCAAUGUAAAGUUUAGUUAUGAUCCGAAAAAACGAGAAAUUUUAGUUUAUUCCGGUUUUUGAGAAGGGUAUAUCGUUUUAACACGAGCCGACAAAUUCCAUCCAACAUAGCGAAGAAAUUUACGACUUAAUGUUAAAUCGAUAUAUUGCCUCGAUUAGUAAUUAAAACAUAAAAGAUAUUCAUGAAAUAAGAAUAAAUCAAAGAAGCAAACAAUGACAUUAUCAAUGAAAAAUGUUAACAUGAUACUAGAGCAGUAGCAAAACAGUAAUAAUAAUAUUUAAAAGAGAAAUAAAACCAAACAUGAAUAAAUAUAAAGUACAUUUAGUAAUAAUAAUAUAAGGUAGCAUAUAAAUAUGCAAAAAUAUGAUAUGUGACCUAUAUACAUGAUGUAUGAAAAUAUAAUGCCUAAUAGACAUAUACGUGCAAUAUUACUAAAUAUAUACGUACUAGAUACAAGUACACAUAGUAUAAUUGAACAUAUACAAUAAUAUUAGGAAUACUAUGGACAAGGAAAAUACAUUUAUACUAAUAAUAGUAAAAGAUGUAUGUACACCAAAUAAUAAUAUAAUAAGUAGCAAUAGGGAAAAUAAUAAAUACAAAAUCAAUAAUACGACAUACACAAAUGAUACAAAUAAGGAAGGUAUAUAUAUACGUAUGAUAAAAUAAAUGUAUUAAAAUUAAUAACAAAUACAAUAUGGGUAAAAAUAAAUAUAGACGUGGUAUAUGCGUAAUGUGGUACUAAGAAAAAAUAUAUAUAUACAAUAUAAUAUUUAAAAAUAUAUACACAAGAUGGUAUAGAAAUAUGUACUUGGAAAUGUAUAAGAACUAUAUAUAAAUACUAUAUGUAAAAUAUAUUAAAAUAGAGACAUAAUAUACGUAGAUAAAUAUAUAUAUAUAUAAAGCAAUAUGUGUAAUAUAAUUUUAGGAUAUAUGCGUAAAUGUAUAUAUAUUUAAAGAAUGCAUAGGUGAUAUACAAAUAUAUUAACAAGAUGAUGAUAUUAAACCCUUAAUAAUACUAAAUAACAUAUACAGGUUAGUAUUAAGUAGAAUAACAACAAUAAAAUACUAAAAAUAUAAUAAUAACAUUAAUAGAAUAUAUUAGUAUAAAUAAUAUUGAAAUUAAAAUAAAAUAAUGAGGGAAAGUAAAAAAGGAUGAAAAUUGAAAUAAAAAAGGUUAGGGGGAAUUUUAAAAAGAAAUAUAUAAAAGAGAAGGACCAAUUGGAACACGCUAAAACACGGGAGGGAUUAAAAGUGAAAAUAUCCCGUCCUCUUGAAACGCAGCGUUUAGUGGGGGAUCGAAUUAAAUUCGGGGCAAAAUCAUGGGGCCAAAUUAAAAAUAAAAAAACCUUGAUUGUAAACUCCCAGAAAAGCGGAAGGGCUAAAACUGCAAUUAGCCCUUCCAAAGAAAAACACGCGGAUCUUCCCUGGUGCGGGUCGGGUCGACCCGACCCUGGGCCUAAACGGCGCCGUUUUAAGGGUUAAAGGGGGAGGACCAAAACGCACCGUUUUGGUCCCCUAUAUAAGUUAAAAUUUUUAUAUUUUUUCAUUUGAAACAGAAGAAAGAAAAAAAAGGGGAGAGGAGGGAGAGAAAAGAGGGAGCGGGGAAAGGGGAGAGCUCCGGCCAGGGGCCGGUCACCGGACGGCCACCGGAGGCUCUCCGACGCCGGCGCGGUGGCCGAAAAUGGUAAAACUUUACUUUUUUGUUUUUUAUUUUUAUUUUUCGAAUAUAUGUGUGUAUAUAUGCUAGAAAUGAGGAAGAAAAGAAAAAAAUGGAUUUAAGAAGAUAAUAGAGAAAAAUAAAAAAACAAAAUCACCUUCCGAUUUAUGUUUUCGUUCCUUGUUUCCCUUUUUUUUUGUAUUUUCCUCUGCUUUUUGUAUUAAAAUGCCGAAAAAAACAAAAAAAAACAAAUAAAACCCCCCCUCUUUUACAGUGUUUCAUUCGGCUUUUUAUAGCCUGUUUUGUUACACACUUUGUUAUUAUUUUUUUCUAUUCUUGCUUCUGCUUUGCUUGUCUGUUGUUUUUGCAGGGCAUGGCCGGUGUUGGUGGUGGGAGUGUCAGACGAUAUGGGACUGUUGUAGUGGAGGUAUGGGGCUGUUGUAGUGGGGGUAUGGGGUUGCUUCAUGGUUGCAGCGCAGAACAAAAGGGGGACUUAGGGUUGCUGAGAUAUUUUGUGUGUUGGGCUAGGUGGGCUUUUAGGGUUUUUGUAUUAUUUGGGUCAAUCGGGUUUGGGUUGUAAGAGGGGGCAAUGGGCUUGGUAUUAGUGGGCCAAAAUUGGCCUACUACAGUACAAAUUCCUUAUUGAGUCCAGUUUUAAGAGAAACAAACCUCAUAGUCAUUUAAAUUCUGUAUAGAGAGAUAUCUGAUUCGUAAUACACAGAGGUCAGAGCAGUCGAACCCUGAAAUAGGGGAGAAUUUAACUAAUAAACUGUACUAAUUGGCCCAACAAAAAAUUCUAGAAAAACAUUAGUAAAUAGAUAUAUGAGUCUAGAUUUAGGGAAAAUUUACGGAUCUUGAUUUCGAGUUUCGUAACUCGAGAUAUGAUUUUUCUUGUAACUGUGAUGCGGGUAGCCAGAAAGCUGUGAAUGUAGAAACAAAUGAUUUGAAGUUCUUAAUUUGAUAAAUUAUGUUCGGUAACCCCUCAAGCUCGACUCCAGCGACGGUUUCGGGCGUGGGGGCAUUACAGUUUUAGUGAAUAAGAUAAUAAUAUUAAAAGAAGGAAAAAAUAUGUAUAUAAAAUAAAGUAAAAGCGUGAUUACAAAAUAAAUUAAGCGAAAUAAAAUUAAAUGGAUAAAUAAAAUAUUUUUUUAAAGCUUAGCCUUAGCCUCAGUGUACUCCAAUCUUAAAUCGAUCCUUGAAGUAGAUUUUUCCUUCUAGCGAUAAGCUAGUUAUAGCAAUCAAGAAUGUCUCGACCGCCAACUUUUCCUUAUGUAGUCGAUCCUGUACGACCUGCAAUCCAAGUUUUGCCAAAUUUCUAAUUGCGAUACACGUGUUUGCAAUUCAAGAUUUCGACAGCCUUGUGAUCUGACAAGCCUAACUCGAAUCACUGGCCUCAACCGUGUAAGUCGUUUAAAUCAAAUCUCUAUCUCAUUUGAUGCAAUCCAAUUGGCUUUUUUGAACUAGACACGCCAAUUUGUUCGCGGGAAUUCGAACAUAGCACUACAAAUUUGACUUCCCAACUGUAUACCAAACAACUCUAACCUAAUGAGCACUUUUUGAAUCGAAGCUGAAUCAACUUUAAGGGACGAAUUUGUACUAUGCCAUAUACUAGCGAGAUAGAAAAUACUGUGUUGAGAGAUUUUAUUUUUUUGAGCGGAUUCGUAUCUCAUGAUUGUUUUGUUAGAGCAAUUUUCGGGCUAAAACUAAAUAGGAGUUUAGUUAAUCAUGAAAAGAAUUAUGCUUAAAAAUAAAUAGUUUAAAUGGAACCGUGGAAAGUAGAAAGGGAAGGGGGCUUUGAAGGAAAUUAAACCAAUAAAGAUUGAAAGUAAAAGAAAAACAAUGAAGUAGCAGAGUAGAAAACGCAAAAGCGAAGGAAAGGGAAAAAAUAUAAAGAAUUUAUUAAACGUGAAAGGCGAAAGUGUGUUGGCUGUAGCCACUAGGUAUUUAUACAUAGUUUUAGUGCUAAAAUUUAGUUAGAUUUUUUUUAAAUAUUAUUACUAAAUAAAUUAAAAUUUUAAAAAUUAAAUUUAAACUAGCGAGUAAAUUCAAACUAAUUACAAAAUUUUAAAAAUAUAGAAAAUCAUUCAAUCUUUAUCAGCUACUUUUUUAAAUCUUCAACCCUUCAAUAAGUUCUCAUAUUUACUUUUUAUUCAUUUUAGCCCUUUUUUGGUAAAAGUUUGAAUUCAACACACUAAUUUUAUUUCUGAAAAAAAUACCUAAAUUUAAUAGCAUUUCAUUCGAUAAUUAACUAAAAAUAAAUAAAUUAAAAAUAUGAAUUUAUCUUAGUAUGAAAAAUAAAAUUCACAAAAGUAACAUAAAAAAAAUGAAAUAGAUAUAUACACCAAGCAACAAGUUGUCCAUUUCCCUACAUUAAACAAAUACGUCAAAGCAUUACUCGUACUAGAGAACAAUUGCUUCAGUUUAAAAAAAAAAAAAACCAUGUAUACUAUAAUUACAACAUUUUAUACAAUUAAUAUUAUAUGUAGUACUAUAAAGCCUUGUCCUCUAUCUAUCAUAAAUACAAUUGAUUUUUCACUCCCAUACAUGGAAUUAAAUAAGAACAUACCAUCAUGUUCAUUCACCUUAUUUAUCAUGUUUAGCAGCUUUCUUAUAAGUCUUGCAGUAUCUGAGCUUGAUGACUCACCCACUGAAUCAGGAGAAGUAGCAACUUGGGAUGAAACUCUCUUCGGAGAAUUUGGCAGCCCUGAUAUUUCCUAAACAAGGGCGAAAAAUAAACUAUUUGUCAAUUAUCUUGGCAGAAAUUUUGCCCUUGAUAUCGAGCCCUUUACUCUUCAUAUCAUAACAUGCAUGGUAUCACAUGCAGCCAUCAUAUAAUACCACUGCAAAGGAACAUAGUAGAAUCGAAAAGUGGUAUCACUUUAACCCUUUUUUCCAACCUAUCUUCAUCAAAUGCAACCUCAUGUCACAAGGACGAACUUGGUUUCCCAUUCAUGCCAUUGCAAAUUUCGAAUAUUGAAAUAGUACAUCAGCAGCAACAGCUUGCUUUUUUUCUUCAGGCUGACAUACAUAAGAAGUAGAAUGAAGUAGGUCAAAACAGUUUUCUCUUAAAGGAGGAGAUUUUUAAAAUUUAAUAAUAAAAAAACUCGAAUCUGACCAUUUAACAUAAGUUAUUACCUAAAAGAGAUCAAAAGCAACUGAAAUUAGGCCAACUUCAAUUAGGAGUCGUAACAAGAAAAUGUGAAGGAAACCAACAAACUUGUACAGUGAUUAGUGUUUUCAAAUGAAUCAACAUAAAAGCAAUUCAAGAUCACUCCUUUCUCAUCAAUGACAUUUAGCAAUUAUCAACCAUUAAACUUGUCCUCACUGCAAAUCUGGACAGAUAGAAAACAGAGAACCAUUCAAGAUCAUUCCCUUCUCAUCAUGAAGUGUCAAGUGAUUAACAUCAACCAUUAAACUUGUCGUCACUGCAAAACUAGACACAGAAAGAUCAGAGAGAAAUCAUACAGGUUCAUUAGGAUAAAGCUCUUAAGGAAAGCAGCAAGUCGCAACGUCACUGUAUGGUUACUUGAUAAAAAAGAAAAGCCUUUGCAAGAGGCAAAGAUUGAUGAAUUAAAGUCAUUAUUACUUAGACACAAUGAGCUUAAGCCAGCUUUUCACGUCCCAUUGUGGAUGAGCUUCUGAGUCCUGAAACUACAAAUGUGCAACUUCACAUUUACAAAUGGAUAUCUAAAACUCAAUAAGUUGGCCUUAACUAUCUGUUUGAUCAAGUGACCAUAUGCUGAAUACAGUCACAGACAUUGACAACAUAUUCACCAGACCUAAGUCCCCAAAAUGAAUUCAUGAAAAAAAAAAUGAUUUCUGGAUUCAAUUGUUCUAGAGCAAAGCAAACAACCAACAUCAACAUUAAGUUGACUAGAGAUAAUUGAUCUCUAAAAGGGAGAUUAUUCAACACAACCAUCUAAACAACAAUAGAGUGCUUAGGAAACCACAAUAAUCUAUGCCAGCACACUUUUUGCCUUUUACUCUAAUUUUCUUCCGCAAUCUUGCUACAUAGAGGAGUCCUUUGAACAUUAUAAAUGGAUUAUUACUUGGUUUUUCAAACUCUAGAAGGGUUAAAACUUAAAAAGCUGCAAUAUGUUUCAUUUUUUUAAUAUCAACAUGGGACAACUUUUUUAUAUAUUUAUAAAUAUAUUCAUUUAAUAAUGAAAUAAAAGAAAAGAAAGGGAGAAGAGAAAACGAAGAAAUAAAAAGAAAAUUAUAUUAGAUUAUUGUUAAAAAAUGGAAAAAUAUAAAAAUUAAUUAUAUAAUUUAAUCUAAAAUUUUCAUAUAAAUUAAUAACAUCAAUAAACAUAUAAUAAUUUUUAAAAAUUUAAUAACUAAAAUAUAAUUUUUAAAACUUUUCAUCUGAGAUGGAUUAUAAUAUAGAAAAAAUUAAAACGGGCAGUGGGGAAGGUCGUCGGAGUCGGAAUUGCUAAUGCCAACGCUCGUAGUGUUCAGUCGACUUCUCCGUCUGCCGAGCAUUCCAUCAUACGUGUCGCCGCUCCUCAUUCUGCUUCUUCCCCUAUUGCUGUUUCUAGUGAAGGAGUUCCGUCUGUUUGUCUCACGACAGCAUCGGCCAAUCAAAAGGCAUAUUGGGAGCACGUUGACGACUGGGAACUUUCCGGUGGUAUCGUUGAGCACGAGGUGGCUCUGGAAAGAUCCAGCGACGCCUCCGGCCAAGGCGAACCGAUUGCUGGUGUGUUGUUUGGUGGCGUUACCAGCCUGGAAGAAGCAAAAGAAGCCAAUGCUGAUUUCAAAGAUGCAUUGGAUAUGUAAAGUUUAUUCUUCUCGUAUUUUUCUUCCAAAUAGCAUGAUCCUUUAUGAAACUCUUCGAAGCCAUUUUGAUGAAGUUUUUUUAUGGUGUACUACAUAAAGUGAUGAUUGCGUUGUUAUCUGUUUUAUCAGGGUUUAUCUAUCACCUCCACUAUACGGUGACACAGCUCGGGAUUCUGCCGUUUCAUUGGUUUCAAACCCUGAGGGGACAAGUAAAGAUUGUGCUUCAGCACCUAAACCUGCUAUAGAGGCAUUCAAGUUAUUAAGUGAAAGUGCAGAUGUUCAGGUACUGCUUAACUUUGUGCUUCCUUUCAGUCUGUUGUGUCAUCCAUUGUUGCCGAUCCGAAUGUACGGAAUGCUGUUUUGAACAAUUCAGCCUAUAUGGAUUUCAUCCAAUACCAGGCUCAUUGCUUUUGUCUUAUUUUCCAUCAUUAGAUGCAUCUUGAAGGUGAAGGUGAUGAGUUUGAAGUUGAGGAAUCUACAGAAGGUUCCGAAUCUCCAGUAAAGCUAGAAGAGUACUAUGAAGAAGACAGUAAAGAUCCAUCUUCGGGUUAUCUGCACAAAAUCAAGACUAGUGUGGUUGAGAUGGCGAGUGAGAUGGUGAAGAAGGCGAUUAAACCUGCUAUACAGGCAGUCAAAUUAUUAAGUGAGAGUCCUGAUGUUCACGUAGCUGCAUAACUUUGUUCUUUCUUCAUGAUUUUAUUUUAGUGCUAAAUACAAUUAGGAUCUACUUUCAUUAACUUUACUGCUGAACUACUGAACUUACCCUGAAAUAAUUGUAAACCUUGAACAAACCCUAAACGGUAAAUUUUGCUUUACUUCAUAUUAUUAUGAUUGGAUAUCUAAAUGGUUUUCGUCAUGCUGUCAGUGUGUUGCUGCUUCCAUUGCUGCCGAUGGGAAUGUAUGGAAUGCUGUCAUGAACAAUCCAGCUUUUAUGGCUUACAUGCAAUCACAACAGACCAGUGAGAAGUUUUGAUCAUUGCUUAUAUGUUACUUCCAUCACUUGAUGUAUCUUUUGACUCCUUGGGUUAAUUUUAAAACUAAUAUAUAUUUAUGUAGCAGUUGCAGGUGAUGAGCUUAAAGUUGAGGGAUUUCCAAAGAAACUAGAAGAGUACGAAGACAGUGAAGACCCGUCGUCGGGUUUUAUGCAGAAAAUGAAGAGUAGUGUGGUUGAGAUGGCGAGAAAAACGAUUGAUUUCUCGGAUAGAUGUCUUACUAACUCAACUGAAAUGGAGGGAAUUCCUGGAUGGAGCAUAUUUUAUGAGACAACUGUAAGACUCUUAAUGGGAUUUGCAGUGAUAUAGUGAUUAUAGUUAUUUUACUGACACGACAUGGUAAGUAAAUUUGUUGGUUUUAGAAACUUAAAGAGUUUGCUCAUUCGGAUGCCUUUAUGGAUGAUAAUGGCGAUAGUAUAGUAUAGUACAGUAUAGUAUAGUACAAUGAAUGGGUUGUAAAACUUAAAAUACAGGUUUUACACAGAAAUGAAGUGAUGAACAUGAACUACAUCUUGGAAACGAUUAACUUCCUGUGCUCCCCCACCAUGCCUGUUCAUAAGCUAGCAAUUUUCAUAUAUUAGUUACAAAAAUUUACUUAAUAAAUUUAAUGAUUGUUGUUUUCAUUAAGAUUAAAAUUUUAAAAUUUAAAAAAUGUAGCGACAAACAAUGAUCUAAUUGGAAAGCAUGAGCUAAAUUUUUUAUUUUAUUCUAUACGAUUCAACGGGUAAUUAAGGGAUGAAGGAAAGGCAUGUAUGUAAAAACUAUUAUUGCUAAUGUUGAUUUGAAAAGGUAAGAUGUAUAUGAAUUUAUAAAAUGUAAUGAAUGGGUAGUUAUCAUGUGAUGAAAAAGAAAGGUAUGAAAUUUAUUUCCUAGUAUAUGAAAUUAUACAUAGAUGUUAUAUUUUCAUGAUAUCUAUUAACCAUGUGAAUUAUGGUGUAAGAAAAGUUUAAUGUUAAAUGAUGCAAUGAGUAUGGUUGUGUGAAUUAUAAAUUGAUGUUCGGUAAGUUAAAGUUUAUCUUUUACGAACUUACUAAGCAUUAAAUGCUUAUGUAGUUGUUUUUUGUUUUGUAUAACAUCGAAAGUUGGAUCGGUUGGAACUUUUUCGGAUUCCUAUUACACAAUCCAUAAAUCAUUUUGGUAGAUUUUGAGUUGUUUUGGUUUAGGUUAUUAUGUAUGAAAGUUAGUGUAUGUUAUUUGGUGAUGAUGGCUUGGAUAUGUGUUUUGUGUUCAUAGUGUUGUUAUCUUUGUGAUCCUUUUGAAGCCCAAAAUGUGUAGUGUGGUUACAAGGCUUUUCAAUAGCUUCUGGGCCGAGCCUAAAAGGAAAAUCAAAAGAAACAAAAAGACUAAUUUAAAACCGUUGGAUCUAAAUACUUUUGAACCUUUCCCUAAAAUAAAAUUUGACCGACAAGAUCAAUUUUCUUUUCUUUUUUUUAAUUUUUGGGAUAAAGAUGCUACACCUUACGUUUUAAAAAAAAAAAAACUCUAAUGAAUUAACACUUAACACCUGUCCAGUGUUUGUUGGACAGGUGGCGUUCUCUCUAUAUGUUAUAAAACUAGCUCUAAAAGAGUUAUAAGAAUAUAAUAAAAUCGUUUUUUUAUUAUAAAAAUAUCAUGAAAUUAAUUAUAAAAAUAAUUUAUUUUUUUAUUGUGGACUUAAAUAACUUAAAAUAAAUAGUGAAAUUUGAUAGUGUCGAGUAAUUAUUAGCUGGGGGAUUAAAAAAUUAACUUUUUAAGUAGAAUAAAUCUAUUUGACGUAAGCUAUAUAAAUAACAAUAUUAUUGAAUAAUUUGGGGUGUAAAAAUAUCAUUUUUAACUCUAAACGGGAUUUUUGUUUUUAAGUCCAUUUUCAGACUUAAAUUUUUGGAGUGGAUAUUGGGACAGAACCCACCUGAAAGUAAAAAAUGGGAGUUAUUUUAUAUAGAUAUUUGGAAAACAAAAUGUAUAAGUGUAAGGAAUGGAAACGACAUGAGUAAUGAAUGGAAACGACAUGGCGUUUGGUUCCUUCCAAAUGACUAGAAGUAAUCAAAAACCGUCAUAAAAUAUCCUUUCCUUUUCAACUGAAAUAGAAUCAAUAGAAAUAAUAAAAUAAAAUAAAUUCCUUUUAUUUUCCUGCUAUUUAAUACCAUUAUCCUCAUCUUCUUCUCAGUUGAUCUAAUCCAAAAAUACCAUCUCUUCAUUUUAUUGGAAUCACCGAAAUGGGCGGAGGAGGAGUCAUGAGGGCGGUGGGGAAGGUCGCCGGGGUCGGAAUUGUUAACUCCGGCCUUCGUGGUGGUGUUCAGGGAACUCCGCUGUCUGCUGAGCAAUCCGUCAUGCGUGUCGCCGCCUCUUCUCGUUCUGCUUCUUCCGUGGUUUCUGUUUCUAGUGAAGGAGUUUCGUCUGUUGUCGACACGACUGCGUCGGUCAGUCACAAGUCAUCUUGGGAGAUGGUGGAUGAUUGGGAAUUCGCUGGUGAUUUUGAACAGGAAGCUGCUCUGGAAGGAUCCAUCGCCGCCUCAGGUAGACCCGAACCGAUUGCUCGGGUUUUGUUUAGUGGCGUUCCAAGCCUGGAGGAGGCUAAAGAAGCCACUAAUGAUUUGAAAGAUGCACUGGACAAGUAAAGUUUAUUCCUUUCAGUUCUUUUUAUUUAUUUAUUUAUUUCAGCUUUUAGGAAUUGUUCACAAAAGAAUAUGUAUCAAGCCGAAAUUUGGUUAAUUAUUGCUUUUGUAGGAGAAAGAUAUUGAAUUUAAAGGGUUUUGCUAACUAUUUCUAUCUAAAUUAUGAUCUAGUAAGAAAACAUCAUCAAAAAGCUGCUUCUAGUGGCAGAUAAGUGAAAAUUUUGUAACCAAUUAUGGGGAACUGUUGACUAACAUCAAGAACCCCAAACGAAAAUAUAGUUAAGACUUCAUUUCAUAUUGAAUCUUCAAGUUUGUAAUGACAUAUUUUGAGGGUGGGAUGUGAUGUUGGUAUGUAUGAGAAAAUCAUGUUACUAUGUUUCUGGAUCUGUUAGAGAAUAUUCCUUUUUUGGUUCAGGGUUUAUCUGUCAUCUCCAAAAUACAGUGAAACAGUUCAGGUGACUGGCGUUUCAUCGCUUUCGAACACUGAGGAGACUAAAGAUUGUGUUGCUUACAAUAUUGAAGCCACUUCAGUGCCAAAACCUGCUAUUCAGGCAUUCAAAUUACUCAAUGAGAGCCCAGCAGUUCAGGUUGUGGUUAACUACAGUUUGGAUAAUGAUAUUCCUUACAGAUUGUUAACAGUGUUGUUUAGGGUUAUUUCCUUUGAUACUCUUUACUUGGAUUUAUUAUUAGGAUUCGGACGUUAGUGUUGGGUACCCUUAGAGGGUAUCAGGUGAUAUUUUAAGAAAAACAGAGAUUUAGUGCAACAUAGUCUUCCAUACUUCAUACUAGGAUGCUUUAUUUGGUUGUUUAUCUCAUAAUCGUUUGUUUAUAGAUUUACUUCCAUUACGUAUAAUUUUAAAAUAUAAGAUGGUUGAUGGUUAAUGGUUUUAGUUUUGGUUUUCCCCUCAGUCUGUUGUUGCUUCCAUUGCUUCUGAUCCAAAUGUAUGGAAUGCUGUCCUGAACAAUUCAGCUUAUAUGGAUUUCAUUAAAUCCCAGCAGACAAGUGAGAAGCUUUGCUCAUUGUUUCACUAUUACUUCCAUUGCAUCGCAUCUUUUACUAUUUUGCUUAAUUUUGUAACCAAUAUGAUGCAGAUGAUAAGUUUGAAUUUCCGGGAUCUCCCCGAAGUUCUGUAUCUUCAGUGAAGCUUGAGGAAAAUGAAGAUAGUGGAGAUUCAUUUUCGGCUUUUAUACAGAAAAUCAAGACUAGUGUGGUCGAGAUGGUGAGUAAAACGACUGAUUUCCUCCAUAGUCUCUUUAGUUUACCCUCGGCGGACAAGGCUAAAGAAAAUGCUGGAUCGAACAAUAUGGAUAAGACAAUUGGAGCUAGCUUGAUGGGAUUGGCAGUGAUGGUUAUUAUGGUUGUUCUUUUGAAACGAGUGUAGCACCCUAUUUUAAAGUAAAUUUGCCGAUAUUACAAACUCAAAAACACUUGCUUGUUUGGUUACUCAUGGAUGAUAAUGAUGAUCAAUAUAAACUUUAAAGUCCACUGUCCGUAAAUUCUAGUAUUUUGCUUGUGGUUAAGUAGCUUUCAAUUGUAAUGGAAUUAGUUGAAGUCCACAAUGUGCACUAUGCACAUUGCCUAUCUUAGAAACGAGUUCAAUACCAUAUUCCAGAGGAAUAAAUAAUGCAUUAACACAGGGGUGUAAUUGGAUCGGGUCGACUUGAGUCUGAUUAUUGGUGAGUUUGAGUUUGAUUCGAAAUUUGGAGCUCUAACUCAAUUGGAUAUCUACUUUUAUGUUUGAGUUCAGCUUGAGAUGUAAUCGAGUUAUUUGAGCUAUAACUUAAUUAAACUUGAGUUAUAUGAUUUUAGCUAGAUAAUUAAGUUUAGGGUUAAUAAUAUAUUUUAAAUAUAAUAAUAUAAUUAAAUUUGGAGUAUUAUUAAGUUUGAAUUUGGUUUAAUCCAUAACUUACUCGAAGUUUGAGUUUGGUUUGAUGAUUGAGUUUUUCUUCAAUCAAAUUCGAAUAAUUUAUCAAGUCUAAAAUCUUAUAUACAUCCUAUCAAGUUUCAGAUGGUUGAUGAUUAAUUCAUGAAAUGUAAUAUAUAUAUAUAUAUAUUAGUUCAUGAUUAAUAUGUAUAAGGUGAAUACUGAGGAUUUCUGGUUUGAGGAAGGAUGGUAUAAGGUGAACACUGAUGGUGCUGUGUGUAAAGUGUCUAGAAAUGUUUUAGUUGGUGGAGUUAUUCGGGACAAACAUGGUACAUGAAUAUCUAGUUUCUUUAAAUAUAUUGGUUGCUGUUCUACACUCAACGCUGAGCUUUGGGGAGCUCUAGAGGGACUUCAAAUUGCUUGGAGUCUAUGCCUUCAACGGUUGUGCUUGAGAUGGAUAGUAUGACUACAAUCAAGUUGAUUCAAGAUGAGUCAAUUGGGUUUACCAUUCAGUUGUGCUAUGAGCUAUUAAAAAAUUUAUUCAACAUCCUUGGAUGAUUAGGAUGACACAUAUAUUCAUAAAGAGUAAUCGAGUGGAUAGUAAUGACAUUUUCAAGGCCUCUGGGCAUGUAUAGUUAUAUGCAAUCCUAGGAUGAAAUUAUUCAAAAGUUACAUGAUGAUUGCUUUGGAAUGACUUGGCUAGGUAUAUGCAACCCGGAUGAAAUUUUUCAAAAGAUACAUGAUGACUGCUUUAGAAUGACUUGACCCCGCCUAAUCUAGUUAUGAUUUUAUCAUUUUUCAUGUACAUAUAGUAUAAAAUCAAUUAAAUAACUUAAUUUCUAAAUUAAAUCCACCAAUUACCAUAUUUUCUACAACAUUAAUUACACAAAUCCACCAAUUACGUAGUUGAUAACGUUUUUUUUCUUUCCAAAUUCAAAAUCUUAAUCCGUUUUAGGUUAUAACAUUUUCUUCCAAAAAGCCUUGUUAUAAACCUCAUUUCUUCUCAUUUUCCCAUAACAUCAAAAAAAUGGCUAACCAAAUUAGUAAUAUUUCCCCCAAAAUCUUGGUCAUCAUAACCCUAAUUUCCAUUGUUUUCAACAACUAUUUCCGGCCAAUUGAUGCUGAAGAAACAGGCAAGGCCCUGAUUGAAUCAACCUGUAAAAAAACACAGUACCCUGAAGAAUGUAUCUCAGCUUUGGAAUCAAAUCCUGGCAGCUUCACCGCCAACUUAACUGGGUUAACACGGAUUGCAGUGGAGAAAUCAGCUUCUAAACUUGUUGAAACCUUACACAUUGUGGAAACGUUGGUGCUGAAUGCGACAAAUUAUCUAACAUGGGGGUUCCUUGUCAACUGUCGUGAUACUUACAACAUCAGCGUUCCUCAAAUCCAGAGAGGUCUACAGGCUUUUGAUCAGCUCAAGUUUGAUAAAUCGUAUAAAAGUGUUGAGGCUGUUAAUAAUGCAGUCAUUGGGUGUGAUCGUCAGGGAUGGACAUUGCCAAUCUUAACCCAAGUUAAUAGAGCUUUGUUUAGGCUCACCAAGGAUACCAUGAUGAUCUUGCAUCUUCUUUUCUAAUCUAAACAAUGUUCUAUGUUAUUACAUAUAUUAUUGACAAAAAACAUGUUCUCAAACAAUCCAUGAAAUUUUCCAUGUGCUGGGCUGGCCUAUUACUAUUUUGUUCUCCAAAACUUAUAGUCAGAGUCAAGCCAUGUCUAAAAAAACAUAGACUUGUUUAGGGGCUAGGUUUAGUCAAGAAUAUUUCAAUUUAAAAAAAAAAGUCAAGCUUGUUUUUUUUUUUACUAACCCAGUUCAGUUCAAAAGUUUGUUUCACGGUUCAAAAUAUUAAUAAAAAAUAAAAUAUGCUUUUAUAUUAAUAUUUAUUUUUUAGAGUUAAAUUUAAUUUUUUUACAAUUGAAUUUGGAUUACGCAGGAUAAAUUUUGUGACAUGAAAAUCUUGAUUCAAGUUUGAUCCGAAUCGUGAAUUAUUCAAUCUAUAAGUAACUUAAUUUAAUAUUUUAGACUUAAAUAUGAUUCAACUACUCGAGCUAACUUUAUUGAAUUAUUUGUGUCCUUUAAUCUAAUUUGAUUUGGGAUGUCAAAAUUUUACAUAAAUUGAACUUAAGAAAAAAUGGAAUUUUCUAAAGAUUAUAUAGAUUACAGGGAUUUUACGUAAAACGUUGACACAAUUAAAGAAAGUCUUUUUUAAGUUUAUUCAUUUUUUUACAAAUUAAAUAAUUAUUAAAAUUGAAAUAAAAAUAAUGUCACAAUAAAUUAUUUAAUAGUCAAAAUUAAAGUUAAGUUAGAAAGUAUAUAUAAAAGUAAAAGUUUACACAAUCUACUAUUAUUAAUAUUUAUGUUUUAAAAAUAGUUUCAAAAUAUUGUUUAUUAAAAUUCAGUUUAAUACCAGGAUUAAUAUUUGGUACAUUAGCAAUGCAUAUUUUUAUUCUAUAAGUAGCAUUAAAAAAUUGUUAUAUAUAUCUUUCUUUUAAAUAUUUAUUUUUAAUAUUCUCUACUUGUAGAGUCUAAAAACUCUACUAGCAGAACAGUGUGCCAAAUAUUAUAUUCUAAUUUUAACUUUUCGAUUGAAAUAUUAUUAUUCAUUUCUUUUGGAGUCGUCUUGUUUUAUUAUUAUUAUUAUUAUUAUUAUUAUUAUUAUUAUUAUUAUUAUUAUUAUGUUGAAAUUCAAAAUUUUAUCUAUAUACUUUAAUUUAUGUCAAUUAUUUAAGUACUCAACGUAUAAAACACAAAAUAACAAAUUGAGGAAUAUAAUAAAGAAUCAAUUAAGCAAAUUAAUUUCUAAAUUAAAUUCAUCAAUUGCCAUAUUUACCACAACAUUAAUUACACAAAUCCACCAAUUACGUAAUUCAUAAUUUUUUCCAAAUUCAAAAUAUUAAUCCAUUUUUUAAGUCGCAAAACCUUGUCAUAAACAUCAUUUCUUCUUCCUCCUGCAUUCUCAUUUUCCUACAACCCCCCCCCCCAAACAAAAAAAAAUGGCUAGCCAAAAUAGUAAUAUUCCCACCAAAAUCUUGGUCAUCAUAACCCUAAUAUCCCUUGGUUUCAACAACUAUUUCCUGCCAAUUGAUGCUGAAGAAACAGGCAAGGCCCUAAUUGAAUCAACCUGCAAAAAAACACAGUACCCUGAAGAAUGUAUCUCAGCUUUGGAAUCAGAUCCUGGCUGCUUCAGUGCCAACUUAACUGGGUUAACACGGAUUGCAGUGGAGAAAUCAGCUUCUAAACUUGUUGAAACCUUACACAUUGUUGACAUGUUGGUGCAGAAUGCGACGUCAGAUUAUCCAACAUGGGGGUCCCUUGUGUUGUGUCGGUAUUCUUAUAACACCAGUGUUCCUCAAAUCCAGGAAGGUCUACAGGCUUUUGAUCAGCUCAAGUUUGAUAAGUCGUAUAAAAGUGUUGAGGCUGUUAAGAAAGCUGUCAUUGACUGUGAUCAUCAGGGAGUGAAAAGCUUAACCCAAGUUAAUACAGCUUUGCUUAGGCUCAUCGAGGAUACCAUGAUGAUAUUGCAUCUUCUUUUCUAAUCAAAUCGAUGUCUUAUGUUUGACAAAUAACAUGUUUUUAAACAAUCCUUGAAAUUUCAUUCAAGAAAGAAAAGAAAAGCCAUCAACCUUGUUUAAUAUUUAUUCUACAAAUGUUUCUUGUACUCUAUACUCGAGUUGAGCAAUCGUUUAUGAUGGGUCAGGUCAUUCGAUUCUUUUUCUUUCUUUAAAAAAAAAACCAAGUUUUGUGAAUUAAUUAUUCACAGUUAAAAAUACUAAUAAUUGAAAAUAUUUUUUAUCAUUUAAAUCAAAUUUUGGUCAAAUCAGGUUCACUUGUGACUUGAAAAAUUUGUGUCUAUGCUUGGAUUGAGCUCAUCGGGCAUGGAUAACUUUACUAAAUAGUGACAAAUUUGAGCUUGAUUCAAAACUUGAAAGCUCAAUAUUCAAUCUCAACACAAUCGAGCAUUACUUACAAAGCUUGAGUUUGACUUGAAUAUAGUUGUAUUAAUUGAGCUGCUUCAAUUAGGCUCGAUUAUUUGAAUACCUUAAUCUACCUUUAAUCAGGAUAUGUAAACUUUACAUAAAUAAAACUUAAUAAAUAAUGAAAUUUCCUAAAGAUGAUAUAGUAAUAAAUUUUAGAAUAAAUUAUAUCAUUAGUCACUAAAUUAUGUAUAAAUUUUUGUUUUAGUCACUUAAUUAAAAAAAUUACAAUCUGGUCAUGAAAUUAUUUAAAAAUUUUCAUUUAAAUCAUUAAAAACUAUUCAAAAUUUUUUUUAUUGAAGUCACUAGUUGUUAAGCUUUUUUUCUUUUUAAAAUUCUGUCAAAGAGCUCCAAACAAUUAUUUGAUGAUUAGAAUGGUGAAUCAAUACUGUACGGGUCCAAUUUUGUCCAGCCCGUUUAAACAAAAAAAACCAAAAAUAAUAACAGUUCAUGUUACAUUAAGACCCAAAACAGAGACCCAAAACCAAGCCCAGCACCUAAGCCCGAUAGGCCCGAUGCCAAAACCAAGUUCAGCCAACCGAAACCCUAGCGUUGCGCCUCCAUUCAGCCAGCCACGUGCUUCCUCGAUGCAAACAUCGCUCGAGGGACGGCUCUGCCCGUCCUUUGCACCAAAAAGGAAACCCCCGCUUGUUGAUUUCCUCCCAAGCUGCAAACAAGCUAAAAGAGGGACAACGGAAGCAACAACACGAAAAGAGAACAGUAGAAACAAGAUGUGUUUUCGGCUAUAUAGCUAAGAGCAAAAAAUGUAAAUUUUUUAGAGACACACAUAUUGAAAUACAAAAAAAGAACCAGAAAUAAAAAGGUGAUUUCAAAAUCUUUUUAUCUAUUGAUUUUAUUGUUUCCUUUGAUCUGUUUUGCGAUUUUAGCAUAAAAAAUGAGAAAAUAAUACCUGAUCCGACGCCGAUGAGAGUCCAAAUAUCUCAAAAGCAGGGAGCUAUGGACGAGGGUCGAACGGUGUUAAGUUCUUUUUCAUUUGUUUUUUUUUUAAAGAAUAGAGUAGGAUUUGAAGCCUUUUUUUAAAAAUAAGAAAAAAGAGAAAGAGCAAACUUACUAAGUCUCCAAAGUUGCGGCCUCCGGCGACAAGAUCCGGUCACUAUUCGAGCGCCGUCGGCCACCAAGCAUGGAGGUGGUUCGGCGGCUGUGAGCUAAAUGAAACCCUAGCAGAGUGUUCCCCCUUUUUUUAUUAAAAAAUUGGCUGCAUUUGAAAAAAAAUAAAAAAAAAAGGUUUUAAGUUACUUGUAAAAAGGAAGGCCUGCACUUCAAGCUAAGCGCCUUGUAAUUAAAAAUGGGGGAAUUUUGC